rnacentral:lncRNA from 1 species
UUUCUGCUCAAAAUCUUUUCAGGUGUUGUUUUUCUCACUUCUACACAUCCUCCCCUCCUCAGUGUCAGAGGUCAGGGGUCAGCCACACAUUCUGCUGUCGGUGUAGGUCUACACAUCCUCCCCUCCUCAGUGUCAGGGGUCAGCCACACAGUCUACUGUAGGUGUAGGUCUACACAUCCUCCCCUCCUCAGUGUCAGGGGUCAGGGGUCAGCCACACAGUCUACUGUAGGUGUAGGUCUACACAUCCUCCCCUCCUCAGUGUCAGGGGUCAGGGGUCAGCCACACAGUCUUCUGUAGGUGUAGGUCUACACAUCCUCCCCUCCUCAGUGUCAGGGGUCAGCCACACAGUCUACUGUAGGUGUAGGUCUACACAUCCUCCCCUCCUCAGUGUCAGAGGUCAGGGGUCAGCCACACAGUCU